UGACCAAAGUAAAUCUAGAGUAAUCGGUU
rnacentral:sRNA from 1 species